rnacentral:rRNA from 1 species
UCACUAUUGGAGCGGCCGAUAUCGGAUUAGCUGGUUGGUGGGGUAAAGGCCUACCAAGGCGACGAUCCGUAGCUGGUUUGAGAGGACGACCAGCCACACUGGGACUGAGACACGGCCCAG